AAGCAUUGGAGGGAGAAGAGAACGUGUCCGUAUUCAGGGUGGAGUGUAAGAGAGUGUGUUUAAAUCUCAGUUUUGCUACUUAUUAGAUGUACA
rnacentral:lncRNA from 1 species